rnacentral:rRNA from 1 species
UUCCUUGAGGAGUGGCUUCCGGAGCUAACGCGUUAAGUCGACCGCCUGGGGAGUACGGCCGCAAGGUUAAAACUCAAAUGAAUUGACGGGGGCCCGCACAAGCGGUGGAGCAUGUGGUUUAAUUCGAUGCAACGCGAAGAACCUUACCUACUCUUGACAUCCAGAGAACUUAGCAGAGAUGCAUUGGUGCCUUCGGGAACUCUGAGACAGGUGCUGCAUGGCUGUCGUCAGCUCGUGUUGUGAAAUGUUGGGUUAAGUCCCGCAACGAGCGCAACCCUUAUCCUUUGUUGCCAGCGCGUGAUGGCGGGAACUCAAAGGAGACUGCCGGUGAUAAACCGGAGGAAGGUGGGGAUGACGUCAAGUCAUCAUGGCCCUUACGAGUAGGGCUACACACGUGCUACAAUGGCGCAUACAAAGAGAAGCGACCUCGCGAGAGCAAGCGGACCUCACAAAGUGCGUCGUAGUCCGGAUCGGAGUCUGCAACUCGACUCCGUGAAGUCGGAAUCGCUAGUAAUCGUGGAUCAGAAUGCCACGGUGAAUACGUUCCCGGGCCUUGCACCACCGGCCCGUCAAAA